CGAUUAGGCAGAUAAUAAGGGAAAUUCCUUAGCCCUUAGCACAAGGCCUUUUCCCUCCCCCAGAACCUGCUGGGGCCGAAUCGCCCCCGAUUUGCAGCAGAGAUAAGGAGGUCGCAGCCAUGGCGGAUGGACAACAAACAGCGCUUUAUCUGCACCGCCACCCGCAGUCCACGAUCAAUAUGUGGUCAUCGCUGCUCCGUCCUGCAGGAAGGAUCUGUGAGCUGAGACACUCACGUCCCCCCAGUUCCUGCCUCAGGAGUCCCCAGGUCACACAAGCAGGGAUACGGAAGAAAGAGGAAAAACACUCAAACAGGCAUGGAUGUCAUUAUCAACAUGUGGCAACCCUGACAUCAUUACUUGGAAUCCCUCAAGUCCAGCAGGAGCGAUGUGGCCUGACAAGGAAGAUUCUGUUUUUAAUAAAACCCAUUUGGGCUGAUGGCAAUGUUUCUCUUUCACUGGAGAGAAUUAUCAAUUUCAUGUGAAGCUGCUUUUUGCAUGCACGGAACUGUACACACUGGGAUCUACUUGGGAAGCAGGAGAAGAUAUCUGUGGUUGCACAGACACACCUUUGUGCCAGGAAUGGUUUUUAAAGACAGUUUCCCAUUUAAUGUCAUAACACUAUGCAUUGUUUUAAUACUCUUUUUCCUUCUCUGUGUAAAUUUACAGCUCAAAGGAAGCAUGCAACCACUCUUGUUGUGAACAGAG
ensembl:lncRNA